rnacentral:rRNA from 1 species
GGAGAGUGGCGCACGGGUGAGUAACGCGUGGGGACCUACCUCUUAGUGGGGGAUAACGGUUGGAAACGACCGCUAAUACCGCAUACGCCCUUCGGGGGAAAGAUUUAUCGCUAAGAGAUGGACCCGCGUUGGAUUAGAUAGUUGGUGAGGUAACGGCUCACCAAGUCAGCGAUCCAUAGCUGGUUUGAGAGGAUGAUCAGCCACACUGGGACUGAGACACGGCCCAGACUCCUACGGGAGGCAGCAGUGGGGAAUAUUGGACAAUGGGCGGAAGCCUGAUCCAGCCAUGCCGCGUGAGUGAAGAAGGCCUUCGGGUUGUAAAGCUCUUUCAGAUGCGAAGAUGAUGACGGUAACAUCAGAAGAAGCCCCGGCUAAUUUCGUGCCAGCAGCCGCGGUAAUACGAAAGGGGCAAGCGUUGUUCGGAUUUACUGGGCGUAAAGGGCACGCAGGCGGUCUUGCCAGUCAGGGGUGAAAGCCCGGGGCUCAACCCCGGAACUGCCUCUGAUACUGCAGGACUAGAGACUAGGAGAGGGUGGUGGAAUUCCCAGUGUAGAGGUGAAAUUCGUAGAUAUUGGGAGGAACACCAGAGGCGAAGGCGGCCACCUGGACUAGAUCUGACGCUCAGG